rnacentral:rRNA from 1 species
CCUACGGGAGGCAGCAGUGGGGAAUAUUGCACAAUGGGCGCAAGCCUGAUGCAGCCAUGCCGCGUGUAUGAAGAAGGCCUUCGGGUUGUAAAGUACUUUCAGCGGGGAGGAAGGUGUUGAGGUUAAUAACCUCAGCAAUUGACGUUACCCGCAGAAGAAGCACCGGCUAACUCCGUGCCAGCAGCCGCGGUAAUACGGAGGGUGCAAGCGUUAAUCGGAAUUACUGGGCGUAAAGCGCACGCAGGCGGUCUGUCAAGUCGGAUGUGAAAUCCCCGGGCUCAACCUGGGAACUGCAUUCGAAACUGGCAGGCUGGAGUCUUGUAGAGGGGGGUAGAAUUCCAGGUGUAGCGGUGAAAUGCGUAGAGAUCUGGAGGAAUACCGGUGGCGAAGGCGGCCCCCUGGACAAAGACUGACGCUCAGGUGCGAAAGCGUGGGGAGCAAACAGGAUUAGAUACCCCAGUAGU